CAUCGAGGUGGAGAUCCACGACGGACCUUACAACGUCAUCAAGAACUGGAACUACACCGCCCUUGUGGAGGCCAUCCACAACGGGGAGGGCAAAUGCUGGACUGCCAAGGUAAGCACGCACUCUUUUGUCCAUUGCGCAAGCAUCAGAGAAGAAGGAGGCGAGCUUGCAGAACUGCUGCUGACGCAUGCUUUUGUGUUGGCGCAGGUGAAGUGCGAGGAGGAGCUGACGGCGGCGAUCGAGAUGGCGCUGGGGGAGAAGGAGGACUCUCUCUGCUUCAUCGAGGUGAUCGCGCACAAGGACGACACCAGCAAAGAGCUUCUGGAAUGGGGCUCCAGGGUCUCUGCUGCCAACUCCAGGCCACCCAAUCCCCAGUAGACAGACCGACCAAAGCCACGCCUGCAUCAGUAGUAGUAGCAGCAGCAGCAGCACGCACGUUGCCCAUCAAAUAAUGUUGAACAGUUUAUCUUUGCUCUUCUGUUAUGUUCUUAGUUUUGUGCCUUGUAGUGACUUGUGCCAUCGCCUGUGUUCUAUCCUGCCAAUGCUACGAAGAUUAUGAGAUAUUUUUAGCUUGCCUCAGCUAUUUUUCUACCUUCUUUCAAAAUGGUCGGCCAAUAUAAAUUGAAAAAUCACGAGCUACUACUGAGCGGCUCCUCGAGGAAUCUA
rnacentral:lncRNA from 1 species